CCGCAGUCUGCCAUGGAGGACCAUGGAGGUCAGCCUGCCGGGUCCCUGACGCCGGAGGCCCGCGCAACCCAAGACAAAGCCUGUCUCCCACCGACGUUAAUCUGCCCCUUGAACAGGAAUCAAGAGGACUAGGUACUGCUGACUUCCCGGCACUGGCACCUCCCUCCUCACCUAACCAGACUUUCUUUCUUUUUUUUUUUUUUUAAGGUCCGAGGAGCCCCCGUUCUUCCUUACCUAGAUCAUCAGGUUCUUCCUGGGCGGGACUGAGAGCUGGGGGUUGGAGGGGAAAGAGGGGAAGGUGCUGGGACCCCAGCCCGGCGCUGCCAGCCUCCAUCGUCCUGUUCCCCGCCCCGCCCCCCCACCUGUCCCUCCCCCAGUCCCCUUUUCCAGCGUCCCCCUGCCAACACCAUGCUACCCCUCCUCCUGCCUUUAAGGCCUCCCAUUUGAUUUCCCCCAGUCUGACUGCCUUACCUGAGUCCUGGAAAGCUCCUGGGAUGGGGCUGAAGGCUGGAAAGAGGGAAGCAGGAAGAGGCUGGGGACCGACACUGAGCGGCCUCCGUGACUCCCCUCCCCCCGCAAGCUUUCCGGCUGCUCCGUCUCCCGGGACGCUCGGCCCCAUCCACCUCUCAUACACCAUUCCUCUCCCUUCUGACGCCUUACUCCGUCCUGUUUCUGACCUUCUCCUUCCCUUCCUCUGACACCCCCACGACCCACACAGGACCCAGAAGUCCUGCUUUCGGACUCAGGACCCAGGCCCAUCAAAGCCAUCUCCUGUCCCCUGAAGUUACCGAGGAUCAGAAGUGGAAGGAGCAGGUGCUGGGACAUGGCACAUUUGAGUCAGCCGGAGGCACGGAGAUGAGUGAAGGUCAGUCACUUCUCAAGAAAACUGGAAGAAAAAUAUUGCUUCUCUCAGGCAAGCUUUUAAAAGGUGCUGGGUGGAGGGAGCAGGAGACCGUUUCAACAGGUUAAGGGCAGAGCCGUCUACGUGUCACAGAAGCUACUGGCGGGCCGGUGGCACUGCGUCUCCUUGUGGAGAGAGAAGGUCCACUCAGGUGAAGUUGCUCCGCUUCUGGUCAGGGCUGCCCGGCGAAGAGCUCGUGGGCAGGACCAUGUGUCUCCUCAGAAAAGAAUCGGGAACGUCUGCUCUAAUGCGCCCCAGAAUGGGUGCCCUUACAGAGUGAGCCUGCAAAUAUUUCCGUCUGGGUAGCGUUCAAGCAGAUGUAAGCCCCUUAGGGUCUGCCUAGAUGAAAACAGAGGAUGUUCAGUCAAAGCUCAGGUAAUCCAUGAGUAAUUGUUUUUGUAUCACUAUGUCCCUUGCAAUAUUGGGGAUAUAGUUAUACUAAAAAAUAUAAUUUGUGUUUAUCUGAGAUUUAGAUUUAA